rnacentral:misc_RNA from 1 species
UUAUUAUUUCGCAGUUUCCUCCUUUGUUUUUAGAUGUUAUAAUUGGAGAUUUGUCGUUAUAAUUGAAUCCUCGUUUAUUAAAGUUUAGUGAACUUGACAUUAACACUAUGUUUGAGAGGAGGCUUUUGGAGGUAAGAUGAGGGUUUUAAAAUUAGUAAGGGAUUGUCUGAGAGUGCUUAGUGGGAAAAGAUGUGAUGAGCUGCAAACUCUAGAUGUCUUUGAAUGGAUUGGGAAUGGGACAUAACUUUUCACAUUUCUUGAACUUAUAGGUUCUAGAAAAGGUAGAGGUUUAACUUGCAAGAUUUUGAAACGAUAAGGAAUCAGUUUUACUCCUAUAUCCUUGAUGGUAUGGUGCUAUAUAAACCCACUUGCUUAGUUUAAUUGUUUGAUCCCAAUUGUUAUGGACUUAGGAGAAUCACACCCUAAAAGUUAGCCGUUGAGGUAGCCCAAGUCCAUUUAGGAGAAUCACACCCUAAAAGCUAGCCAUUGAGGUAGCCCAAGUCCAUUUAAACCCACAAUGAAAUGUCAUAUUUUUAAUGUGGGAUUUCAAGUCUCCUACCUUGCCCAAUUAACCCACAUUGAAAUAUCAUACUUUUAAUGUGGGACUCCUAAUUCCAUGCCUUGCCCUGCUAGGAUCAUAAAAUCCCCCUGCGAUUACACACCCAACUUCCUUGGCUGCUCUUACUCCUACUGACACUGUUCUUGCUCGGGAAUCUUUGGCGGCGCUUACUCCUACCAACACUAGCCUAGCUUGGGUUAUUUUCUCCAUGAAGCUACACACCCAAUGUCCUCGAUGGCUUUUACUCCAGCCGACAUUGGCCCGGCUCAGUAAUCAUUGGUGGCUCUAACUCUUACUGACACUGGCCUGGCUCGGGAAUUUUAAUCUAGCUUGCAAGGUACCGCUUUCCAAGUCUUGAACUGUGCAUGUGCACGGGUUAGCUCCGAUGCCAAUUGAAUUGUCAUGGAUUUAGGAGAACCACACUCCAAAAGCUGGGUAUUGAGGUGG